AAGAUGUGCUCAGAAGGCAGGAUACCAUUCUCAGCAAUAAAACACUGCUGGCUAACCUUCCAGACAGGGGUGAACGCCUUAGAGGAAAGAGAAAUGAAGUUGCUAAGGCUCUUGGAGGAAGUGAAAGAAAGGGAGUGGAAUUUGAGAACUGCAUAUCUUCCUGUUGAUGUGCAAGCACUAGAAUGGAGAGGCAUCAAUUGCAAUGAAAGUCAGAGAGUUACAACCUCUAAACAGCAAAAA